rnacentral:rRNA from 1 species
GUGGCUCGAGUGGCGAACGGGUGAGUAACACGUGAGUAACCUGCCCUUGACUUUGGGAUAACUUCAGGAAACUGGGGCUAAUACCGGAUAGGAGCUCCUGCUGCAUGGUGGGGGUUGGAAAGUUUCGGCGGUUGGGGAUGGACUCGCGGCUUAUCAGCUUGUUGGUGGGGUAGUGGCUUACCAAGGCUUUGACGGGUAGCCGGCCUGAGAGGGUGACCGGCCACAUUGGGACUGAGAUACGGCCCAG